GACGAGGGCCUCAAGCGUUAUCCGGAUUUAUUGGGCGUAAAGGGCGCGUAGGGGGCUCGUCGCAUCUUCGGUUAAAUGCCGCUGCUCAACGGCGGCGCCGCCGGAGAGAUGGACGGGCUAGAGGAUGCCAGAGGCUAACGGAACGCAUGGUGUAGGGGUGAAAUCCGUUGAUAUCAUGCGGAACACCGAAGGCGAAGGCAGUUAGCUGGGGCAUUCCUGACCCUGAGGCGCGAAAGCGUGGGGAGCAAAGAGG
rnacentral:misc_RNA from 1 species